CACUUUUUGGGACACAAUAACUCUCUUCCUAAUUGAGCUAGAAUGUUCAAACUUGGUGUAUGUGUUUAUUAGGUCAAUGCCUUGAUGGAGUUCAAAGAUGAGCAUUUUCCGCUUAGGGUAAGCAGAGAUAAGCAAUUUGAUUGGUUGAUGCUUUGGGACACGAUAACUCUCUUCCUAAUUGGGCUAGAAUGUUCAAACUUGGUGUAUGUGUUGAUUAGGUCAAUGCCUUGUUCUAAUUGGGCUAGAAUGUUCAAACUUGGUGUAGGUGUUUAUUAGGUCAAUGCCUUGAUGGAGUUCGAAGAUGAGCAUUUUCUGCUUAGGGUAAGCAGCGAUAAGCAAUUUGAUUGGUUGAUGCUUUGGGACACGAUAACUUGAGUUCUAAUUAAGUGAGAGUGAUGAAACUUGGUGUAUAGUUUUAUUACAUCAAUACCUUGACUAAGUUCGAUAAUAAGCAUUUUCUGCUUAUGGGUAAGCAGAGCGAUAAGCAAUUUGAUUGGGUGAGACUUUGGAACACAUUAACUCUCCUUCUAAUUGAGCUAGAAUGUUCAAACUUGGUGUAGGUGUUUAUUAGGUGAAUGCCUUGAUAGAGUUCGAAGAUGAGCAUUUUCUGCUAAGGGUAAGCAGAGAUAAGCAAUUUGAUUGGUCGAUGCUUUGGGACACGAUAACUUUAGUUCUAAUUAAGUGAGAGUGGGGACACUUAGUGUAUAGGUUUAUCUCAUCAAUACCUUGAGUAAGUUCCAUAAAUAAGCAUUUUCUGCUUAUGGGUAAGCAGAGCGAUAAGCAAUUUGAUUGGUCGAGACUUUGGAACACAACUCUCCUUCUAAUUGAGGAAGAAUGUUCAUACUUGGUGUAGGCAUUCAUUAGGUGAAUGUCUUGAUGGAGUUCGAUGAUAAAGCUUGUCUACUUACGGUCAGCAGAGAUAAGCAAUCUGAUUGGUUGAUAACUUUGGUUUUAAUUAAGUGAGAGUGAUGAAACUCUGAGUAUAGAUUCGUUAUAUCAUUACCUUGACUAAGUUUGUUAAUGAGAAUUUUUUGCUUAGGCUAAGGAUCGAUAACUUUGAUUCUAUAUGAUAGAGAGUGAUCAAACUUAGUGUAUAGGUGAUAAUUUGUUUGAUUGCUUGAUAUUUUUGAAAAAAAAUAAAUGUGCGAUUAAUGAAUAUGUGUCAUCUAUUUAUUUUGGGAUUUCGGCGGGGGACAUCAGCCUCACUGUUGGCUUGUUCAUGUUAUUACUCGAUGCCUUUAUAUUUUAAUAUAUAAAGUAUCACCUGGAUAAUCUUGUGGGUUUUUUUGUGUUAUUGAGAUCAGAAAGAGAGAAUUUGGGGAUCUUUAAACGUCAAGACAUUGACAUAAAUUCAGGGUCUCGGGUCUGGCAGUAGAUGAGUAUGGUCACUUUUGAGCUGACACUUGCCCCCGUUUUCUCCGAAGAGCAGCUGUGGUCUGAGGGUAGACCGAAGAACCUCAUCCCUUGGAUUUCCGUGAACAAGCCAUGGUCUCAGCUGUUUUCCAUACACGCCUUCAUUAAGACUGGAGAGACCACCCGACAGUUACCAUUGGUGUUUUGUGUAAUGUCGGGUAAAAGCCAAGACGACUAUUAUAAGUUUCCAUAUUACAUGUAGAUGCCAUAGCAAAUCAAAGAUCAUAUAAUAAAAUAAGUCAAAAAACCCAAAUAUGGAAAAAGAAAGAGCUGAAGAAAUGGUGAUUUGAGCACCUAUGCUUUCUCAUAGGUGUUUUUGGAGGUUUCCAUAUUAGAUGCCAUAGCAAAUCAAAGAUCAUAUAAUAAAAUAAGUCAAAAAAACCCAAAUAUGGGAAAAGAAAGAGCUGAAGAAAUGGUGAUUUGAGCACCUAUGAUUUCUCAUAGGUGUUUUUGGAGGUUAACUACAUCAGAAAGAUCAAGACAGUUGGAAAUGGCUAUUCAUAUUAUGGAAACUUUUUCUCACAGAGCUUGAUAAUCAGGUAAAAUGCUGGAAGAUUAUUUGAUGUAUGAUAACAACAAGAGAUCCCAAGCAUCAAUUUAUUUUAUAAUUCUGGAAAAGAAUGCAUUUGACCCAAUUUUUGAAUAUUUUUUUUUGUUUUUACUGUUAAAUAUUCAUCCCAAACACAAUUAGAUUUUAAUUCUCUACAGAAAUUUAUGUAUAAUAUAGAAUGUAAAGUGACAUAUAAAUCACUUAGAAUUUGGUCGGAAAUCAUAAAGUAUUUAAUAGGCAUAGUCUAGAAACCAAAUGUAGAUCAAAUAUACCCAGAAUUACAAAAAACCUUGACCUACAUUAAGGUGACUUUCCCUUGCUUAUGAAAUGAAAUAGGGUUUAAUAUCCUACUUUUCUGUGUUAUUAUGGUGAUUCUGCCCUACAACCUACAACCUACUCUUAUAUCAAAUAUUUCAACUGUCAAGGGUUGUUUAAAGGGAACCCAGGAGGGCCGAAUGGUUAACACACGCACAUUGGAUCAGAAGGGUCUGUCAUUGAGUCAGAUAAUUCGAUUGUCAAGGGUUCUUUAAAGUAAACGCAGUGGGGGUAGUUUCAAUUCUGGGCUUAUACCCAAUUAUCCCUUGCCAUGUCCUACACUACUGACGUGUGGGAACUAUGUCGGAAAAUCCAGUUGAAAUUUCUCGGCCAAUGCACUCACUGAACCACAGUGGCUCCUCCUUGCUUUUGACUUGUGAUUAUUUAUAUAUAUUUUGUACAUAUUAUUUAAUGUUUGCGAUUUUCUCUGAUAUUUUUUUAUUUUUCAAUCCUGUAAUCUUGAUGCUUUGCUCCUUUUAUGUAAAAAAUAUUCAUUUUGUUUGAGGAAAAGGUUCUACAUCAUUUUAUUACUCCUGCAAAAUAGUGCAUUUUUCUUUUGUUAGUUUUCUGUGUAUGCUAGUUAUUUCUAGAUGCCUCACAAAUCACUUGUAAUAUGAUUUUGUAGCACUUUUCAGUUUCUGAAAGUAUUUCAAUUUAGUGCAUAGUUAAUAUAAUUAGGGCUUGGUUUGGA